UACAGAGGUCUCAACCGUUGUUCGGAUUCAUUGGGCGUAAAGGGUGCGUAGGCGGUCGUGCAAGUCGGAUGUGAAAUCUCAGGGCUUAACCCUGAAACUGCAUUCGAUACUGCGCGGCUAGAGUGCUGGAGGGGAGACUGGAAUUUACGGUGUAGCAGUGAAAUGCGUAGAUAUCGUAAGGAAGACCAGUGGCGAAGGCGAGUCUCUGGACAGCAACUGACGCUGAGGCACGAAAGCGUGGGGAGCAAACAGG
rnacentral:rRNA from 1 species